rnacentral:lncRNA from 1 species
GCUUACUUACUGAUGUUAUAGAUGGAUGUUAUUCUAUUAGUUUCAACUUUCAAAUUAGUACUACCUGCAAGCAGAAUACUAAAAUAAGUCUGCAUCCUCUUGAAUACAUCACAAGAAACAGGUUAAAGCAUAUAAUAAUACCUCAUCCUCAGUUUCUACCUGAAUUCAAAAGAUUCAUCACAUUAAUGGAAAGUGUAGGAAAUGAGGGAGCCUACAAAAUUGAUAGAAAUCAAGAAAUACCACUCAAACUCCAAAGUAAAAGAGAAAAGAGUACAUGAUUCAACAUUGUUUACUUGAACAAAAGGAACAUCAAAAUGGGCAAAUACUCCUUCAAAAUCAUUUGGUGAUGAACCAUACCUGUGAUUGAUGCUUAUUAGUUUUAGGUAUCAGCUGGCUAAAUAUAAAAUACACAUUUGUAACCCAAAAAGAACAUGAGUCGUGAAAGUGCAAUUCAAUGAGGCAAUCAAUCAAACUUGUAAAAGGAGAAUUAAUUAAAGCUGUAAAAUGUACACAAAAAGUAGUAAAAUAAUAAAAUAAAUGCAUCGAAGAAUGAGAAAAUAACUCACUUCAACAUAUGAGAAUUAUUUCUAUCUUCCAUUCCUCUCAUCAGUCUUGAAUGUAUAAGGUUUUUCUAGGCCAGCCUCAUUAUANNNNN